UACGAGGGGGGCGAGCGUUGUUCGGAAUUAUUGGGCGUAAAGGGUGCGUAGGCGGUGCGGUAAGUCACCUGUGAAAUCUCCUGGCUCAACUGGGAGCUUGCAGGCGAAACUGCCGUGCUGGAGUGUGGGAGAGGUGCGUGGAAUUCCUGGUGUAGCGGUGAAAUGCGUAGAUAUCAGGAGGAACACCUGUGGCGAAAGCGGCGCACUGGACCACAACUGACGCUGAGGCGCGAAAGCUAGGGGAGCAAACAGG
rnacentral:rRNA from 1 species